UACGAAGGGGGCUAGCGUUGCUCGGAAUUACUGGGCGUAAAGGGCUCGUAGGUGGUCAACUAAGUCGGACGUGAAAUCCCCCGGCUUAACCUGGGAACUGCGUCUGAUACUGGGAGGCUUGAGUAUGGGAGAGGGAUGUAGAAUUCCAGGUGUAGCGGUGAAAUGCGUAGAUAUCUGGAGGAAUACCGGUGGCGAAGGCGGCAUCCCGGACCAUAACUGACGCUGAGGCGCGAAAGCUAGGGGAGCAAAACGGG
rnacentral:rRNA from 1 species